rnacentral:rRNA from 1 species
AGCGGCGGAUGGGUGAGUAACACGUGGGGAACCUGCCCCUAAGUUUGGGAUACCAUUUGGAAACAGGUGCUAAUACCGGAUAAUAAAGCAGAUCGCAUGAUCAGCUUUUGAAAGGCGGCGUAAGCUGUCGCUAAGGGAUGGCCCCGCGGUGCAUUAGCUAGUUGGUAAGGUAACGGCUUACCAAGGCGACGAUGCAUAGCCGAGUUGAGAGACUGAUCGGCCACAUUGGGACUGAGACACGGCCCAAACUCCUACGGGAGGCAGCAGUAGGGAACCUUCCACAAUGGACGCAAGUCUGAUGGAGCAACGCCGCGUGUGUGAAGAAGGUUUUCGGAUCGUAAAGCUCUGUUGUUGGUGAAGAAGGAUAGAGGUAGUAACUGGCCUUUAUUUGACGGUAAUCAACCAGAAAGUCACGGCUAACUACGUGCCAGCAGCCGCGGUAAUACGUAGGUGGCAAGCGUUGUCCGGAUUUAUUGGGCGUAAAGCGAGCGCAGGCGGAAAAAUAAGUCUAAUGUGAAAGCCCUCGGCUUAACCGAGGAACUGCAUCGGAAACUGUUUUUCUUGAGUGCAGAAGAGGAGAGUGGAACUCCAUGUGUAGCGGUGGAAUGCGUAGAUAUAUGGAAGAACACCAGUGGCGAAGGCGGCUCUCUGGUCUGCAACUGACGCUGAGGCUCGAAAGCAUGGGUAGCGAACAGGAUUAGAUACCCUGGUAGUCCAUGCCGUAAACGAUGAGUGCUAAGUGU